GAGACCUGUACCUACAAUUGCCAACGACACAGCGAUGUGGAUUGGGUACAUUGUAGGGACUGCCUUGGAAACAAGGAGGAAGGUGCAGGCAACGGUAGGUCUGUAUGCCCCGAAUCUCCUGGGCAACACGCGCGCAACAAUGGUCGUGACAAUGGGAUGCAACACCGAAAGGUGAAGCCAAGCCUCGAAACACGACCCUAGUAUGAAUUGAGGGCUGCAACUCGCCCUCAUGACACCGGAAUCCCUAGUAAUCAGAGUUUAGCAUGCUCCGGUGAAUAU
rnacentral:rRNA from 1 species